rnacentral:misc_RNA from 1 species
GCGCGCCCUCUGGAGCGAGGUGUGGCCUGACGUCACACCCCCGACGGCCGCCACACUCACACUCGCGUGCACACUUUGCCCUCACACCACCCCUACUGUGACCCUACUGUGGCACCGUGGCCAGGGCACCGUGUGAGAGGUGUUGCUGCAAAGAAGAUGAGUUAACAAAGAAAAAAGGAAUUAACAAACAACUUGGUGAAUCAAUAAAGAAGCCAUGUGAGGACACAAUUGGAACCAUAUCAUUUUAUAAUAACAACAUUACCUUUUUUAAUCAAGCAUAUCUAAAUCAUUUGUAAAUCCUAUGAAGAUGGUUAUUCAAGACCUGCAACGAUUUUUAGAGUCACAAGUACCAGGUGCGUGUGUCCCUGUGGAUCUGCUGAAGAUUGCCAAGAGUGUUGGGAUCCGACGUAACCAGCGCAAUGCUCCAAGAGGUGGAUAUGGUCACACACCACUCACUCUUGUCGUAGAUGGGGAGUAUUGCCUUGAUAGGCUCUAUGGAGGGUUCUUUUCAGACUGGGUAUGUGGGGGGCAGUGGAAUCGCAUGGUGCAGUUUCUGGCAGUGCUUAUGCAAACAGUUCAAAAUAACAACAUAGAACUUGCUGUGUUCUUUAAUGGUGCUCUGGAACAACAGCGUCUAAAUGAAUGGUCACGACAAGAGUGCUCCCUUAGAAAAAAUAUAAACUCGGUGCUAAAACAUGUAACUGUGAAAGGCACUCCGCCGCCCAAAGUGUGGUGGGUUGCUCCCGUUGGUCUUCGUACCUGUCUACGGAUGGCUCUGCGGCAUCUCAACAUCCAAGUGUUAUGCACAAUGGACGAUCACCAUCAGGAAGUUAUUGCUUUUUGUCGGGAAAAUAACUAUCAUGGUCUUAUGGCAGAAGACGCAGAAUACAUAAUUUUUGAUCCCCCUCGUUACUUCUCAUCACACCAGCUCAAACUUACGUACAAGGGUUCCCUAGAGACCAAAGAAUUUAUUUUAGAUGAAGUAGCUAAGGGCCUCGGUCUGCAACGCAACUACUUCUGCUUGCUGGCAGCUCUCCUGGGCAACUAUCUUCUUACAGAGACAGAUCUACGCGACUUUUAUGCUUCACUAAUCCCAGGCUACGACAAGCAGCAAACACCUCAGGAGGACGUUAUACGAGCCGUAGUCAAGUUUAUUGUGAAUCGAUGUGACGUUAAUAACUUGUUAACAAUUGGAGCCCAAGUUUUUGGAUCUGUCAGCGAUCCUCGUGUUGCAAAGUUCAAAGAGUCUGUGCAGUACUUUCUCAAUGGCACGAAAGACGGCUUCCUUCGCUACAAACCAUUUCCCUCAGGAAGAAGAGAUGGGGGUCAGAGACAUCCACAUCACCAUCAUCACCACCAUCACCACCACCAUCACCACCACCAUCAUUCAAUCCAUAGACCAGAGAUACACGAGCCAAAGCACUGUGAAGGCCCAGGCAAACUUGACUUCACACCAAAGGGUGGAGGGUGUUUGGGUCUUCCCGUCCCAGGGUUGGCUGUUGUCCCCGAGAAGGAAAACGGGGACAAUGGUGGUGGAAGUAACAACAGAGGGUUCAACUUGGCAUCACCACCUCAAAUAGUGAUUGAGGUGACAGGACCGGGGAGUCCCCAGAGCAGCAGUCGAGGGGGCAGCAGGAGUGACUCGCUCUCACCCGACGCUACUCAGCUGGAACAAGCACUCGAGUCGCGUCUUGGUGGCUUCACCAUAGUGGUGACUGGUGAAGACGACGAACCGCACCAGCUGCACCACUCUGAAGAAAGCGGGCAGAAUCAGAUGGAAGAUGCUGGAAAGAGAAAUGGGGAAUGUGUGAUAAUAAUCACAGAAGGAAUAAAGGAGCCGAACGAGGAAGAUCGUAAACGGGACCUGACUGUGCAGCAGGCUGAUCUAGAUGACCACGACCACGACUCAGGUAUAUUAUGUGGUGGGUGUCUGGGGUCGACUGCUUCAGGCUCUCCUGGUGCGUCACUUUUGUUGUCGUCGUCCUCCUCCUCCAGUAACAGUUCUGCCGCCUCGCCCUACCGCCUCACUCCCGACGUGUCGUGGGCGGCUCAGGUGUACCGUUCCGACCAUACUUCUCAGUCCAGUAGUCCAGUUGAGGGGAGUCAGGACCCAGGCCCUGAGAUUGACCCCAACCCUCUUCCUCUACCUCCAGUGCCCCAUGAGGUCAUGCGGACAGCCUCUGAACGCCAUCAGAAGGGGCUAAUGUGCCCAUGGAUAUACCAAGUUUUAACGCAGGGUGAAGUGAAGUUUGGUGUAUGUAUGGAGGACGAGAGUAGCAGAGAACUGCCACUCGCUGUGCUUUUCUACCGCUCGGUCCGCCAGUAUGUUUAUGCCAUCCUCUAUAACCUCCAUCAUCAUACUUUCAUGGCACGGAAGGCGAAGGAGGAGGGCCAGAAGGGUUUGGCCACUGAGGUACCUGAAGUUAAGAUCCGCGAAUGGAUUUACACCAAAAAUAAUCCCUACCGCACUGCGGAUAUAGUAGAUGCUACUCCCAUCAAUUGGGCAGUGCCUACCGUCCAGAGGUUGUGGUUCGGGUCUGUUGUAGAUGACAAGAAGCGGCGUCUGCGUGCAUUCCUGAGCUGCAUGAGAUCCGACUCCCCACUCAUGCUCCACACCUCCCACGUUCCACAGCAUCUGCUUAUAAUGGCAACUGUUCUUAGAUAUAUUAUGAGCACUCCUAAUGGUCCGGUACUGAGAAAGCAAGAGUUGGAUGCCUUCUUGGUGACCGCUUUCUCGCCCGAUCUCACCAAUGCACAUUAUUUGCAAGACUUGCAGGUUUGUGACAAACUUCCUCUGGUGACAGCACGUGGCUGUCAGCUCGCAGCUCUCUUCAUGAUGGGGGUCGAGACAGCAUUGUUUGCCAACGAUGCCUGUGGAGCACCAGUACCGUGGCUCAUGUGUUGCCCGUGGCUCUUUUAUGACGGGAAGCUCUUCCAUGCCAAGUUGAUCAGGGCUAAUUGCGCACGAUCUUUGGUUGAGGUGGUGGAGGAGUGGGAAGGAUGUUUUCUGGUGGUGGUCAGCUUCAAGUAGCUGGUGUGGUAGUGGGCUCCUGGGGACCAAAUUAUGGAUCAAAUGGUAAUGAAAGCAGACCCCGAGGAUUCCGACAUCCACAGUAUGGCAGUAAUGGCAGGGAAGGUGGAGGAAGUAUGCAAGGCAGAGGUGAGCCGAGCAGGAUGUCCCGUGGCACACGCGGCCGACCUACAGUCUUG